rnacentral:lncRNA from 1 species
CUAAAUCCCUCCAUUUUCCGAGCUAGGAUCGUUCUUCCUCUAGAUCUUCAAGAGGUAAGCUCCGAUCUAUGCUUCUUUUAUGUUUUAUGAAAGUUUUAUGCAAGUUGAUGGGGUAGAAUGCAUGUUUAGGCUUGUUGUUAGGUUUAUGGGUUUAUGUUGUAAUUUGAUCAAUGUAUGUUGGAAAUGUGUUGUUUGAAGUGUUGUAGUUGGGGUAUAUUAUAGUUUGAGACCCCUAGGUGUGUAGUAUGAUGUGUAUGCAUGUGUAUAAACAAGUUUAUGCAUGUUUUGAGGCGUUUUGGAGGCUGUGGACACAAGGGAACCAAGUUUCUGCCCUUCGGCAGAAACUCAGGUUCGGCCGCCGAAGUGACUUUCGGCCGCCGAACCCCCUUGUGGAGGCAGUUUCGGCUGCCGAAGCCUGCCCCCGAAACUCAAGUUUCGUCUCUGUCUGGGAGGUUCGGCCGCCGAAAGUGCCGCCGAACCUGCAUGACUUUCGGCUGCAGAGGGACUUUCGGCCGCCGAACCUGCCGCCGAAAGUGCCCUGUUCAGCCAUUUCUUGCAUGUUUUCAUGUGAUGUUUUCAUGAUGUUUUAGGGGGUUUUUGGGGAGUAU